rnacentral:rRNA from 1 species
CGUGUAGGUGGAACUUUAAGUCGGUGGUGAAAGCCUGCAGCUUAACUGCAGAACUGCCCUCGAUACUGAAGUUCUUGAGUGCGGCAGAGGGAGAUGGAAUUCAUGGUGUAGCGGUGAAAUGUGUAGAUAUCAUGAAGAACACCGGUAGCGAAGGCGGUCUCCUGGUCCGUAACUGACACUGAGGCGCGAAAGCGUGGGGAGCAAACAGGAUUAGAUACCCUGGUAGUCCACGCCUUAAACGAUGGGUACUCGGUGCUGGGCCGCAAGGUUCAGUGCCAAAGCUAACGCAUUAAGUACCCCACCUGGGGAGUACGAUCGCAAGGUUGAA